GUGUGUCUCUCUCUGUCUCUCUCUGUGUCUGUCUCUCUCUUUGUGUCUUUCUCUCUGUGUGUGUAUGUGUGUCUCUGUCUCUCUCUUUCUGUGUGUGUCUCUCUCUGUGUCUCUUUCUGUCUCUCUCUGUCUCUCUCUCUCUGUCUCUCUGUCUCUCUCUCUUCUUGGGAGUGCUGCUUUCUUGUAUGUUUGAACUCUUGUCUCCAGGUAGCUUUUCAAUUAUUUGGAAAACGUUUAGUUUAAUGGCAACUGUGGAAAGGCCAGACUCCUGCACAAACCAUGGAAAAGAUCUCCCAGGUCGGGCGGGUUCUUGGUUAAAAAAAAAAAGUAUCCGUGUGUAUAAAUGUAUGGUACUCCAUACGGAAGAAGUCCUGAGAAGUUGUGUGAUGAAAUUUCACUUGCAUGAUAAAGCUAAGGAAACUGCACAAGGAAAGCCCCAUAGAGCAGCGGAGUGUGGAAUGCGCUCAGGUGGAAGCUGCCUGAUUAUCAGGACGUCUUACUCCAGGGGGAUGCUCAAGAUGGACUCCUUGUGCCUUGCAAGACUCUGCUCUUUUUAACAUUGUAAAAUAACACCUGCUCACUAUGGAAACUUUUUAAACACAGAGAAACAGUGAAACAAAUUUACCCACAGUCAUCAGCUCUCCUUGUUCAAUUGGCUUUUUUUUUUCCUGUGCUCCUCUUUCUUGCCGUGCUCCUCUUUUUUGCCGUGUUCCUGUUUUUCCGCUGGGUUUGCCAGAACCUCAAACAAGCACCCAGCCUUCUUGUGUAUUUUUUCCCAAAAUAUUACUAUUCAAAUGACCUUUUUUUUACUUAGUUGGGGCGGGGUAUUCGUUAUGUUGCUGUUGAGACAAGGUCUCACUGUGUAACCCUGGCUGGCUGGCACUUGCUGUAUCAGGCUUAAACCGUGCUCCUCUUUCUUGCCAUGCUC
ensembl:lincRNA D630029K05Rik RIKEN cDNA D630029K05 gene